rnacentral:rRNA from 1 species
AGCGCGUCCAGUCCCCAUCGGCAGACCCGAAACCGGGUGAUCUACCCAUGGUCAGGUUGAAGUUGCCGUAAAAGGCAAUGGAGGACCGCACACACAUCCGUUGAAAAGGGUGGUGAUGAACUGUGGGUAGGGGAGAAAUUCCAAUCGAACUCGGAGAUAGCUGGUUCUCCUCGAAAUAGCUUUAGGGCUAGCCUCAUGACAGUCUAACGGAGGUAGAGCACUGAAUAUUUGCGGGGGCGUCAAAGCCUACCAAUGAUUAUCAAACUCCGAAUGCCGUAUAGAUGAUUCAUGGGAGUCAGACUGCACGAGAUAAGUUGGGUAGUCAAAAGGGAAAGAGCCCGGAUCUGCAGCUAAGGUCCCCAAGUACGUGUUAAGUGGAAAAGGAUGUGGGAUUUCCAAGACAACUAGGAUGUUGGCUCAGAAGCAGCCACACAUUCAAAGAGUGCGUAAUAGCUCACUAGUCGAGAGGUCCUGCGCCGAAAAUGUCCGGGGCUGAAACACGACACCGAAGCUCAGGGUUGUACCUAGUACAGCGGUAGAGGAGCAUUGUGUAAGCGGCGAAGCGGUACUGUAAGGAGCCGUGGAGUUUACAGAAGAGAGAAUGCCGGAAUGAGUAGCGAGAUUUAAGUAAGAAUCUUAAAGGCCGAAUAUCUAAGGUUUCCAGGGUAAAGCUGAUCUUCCCUGGGUAAGUCGGGGCCUAAGGCGAGGGCGAGAGCCGUAGUCGAUGGACAACAGGUUGAGAUUCCUGUACUGCAUAUGAACAGAACUGUGGGGACACGGAGAGAGAGUCAGAGCCGGGAGUGGAAAUACCGGUGCAAGCGAGGUAGGAGUAUGGUAGGCAAAUCCGCCAUGCAAUCCGAAGACGUGACGCGGAGCGAACUUAUAGUAGCGAAGCUGAUGAGCUAUCCGUCGAGAAAAGCCGCUAUUGUUUCAUAUGUACCCGUACCGUAAACCGACACAGGUGGAUGAGGAGAGGAUCCUAAGGCCGGCGGGAGAAGUGUUGUUAAGGAACUCGGCAAAAUGAACCCGUAACUUCGGGAGAAGGGUUGCUGAUUAUUUCAGCCGCAGAGAAAUGGCCCAAGCAACUGUUUAGCAAAAACAUAGGUCUAUGCGAAACCGUAAGGUGAAGUAUAUGGGCUGACGCCUGCCCGGUGCUGGAAGGUUAAGAGGAGAGGUUAGUCUUCGGGCGAAGCUUUGAAUUUAAGCCCCAGUAAACGGCGGCCGUAACUAUAACGGUCCUAAGGUAGCGAAAUUCCUUGUCGGGUAAGUUCCGACCCGCACGAAAGGCGUAAUGAUUUGGGCACUGUCUCAACAACACACCCGGUGAAAUUGAAAUACCAGUGAAGAUGCUGGUUACCUGCGCCAGGACGGAAAGACCCCAUGGAGCUUUACUCCAGCUUGAUACUGGGAUUCGGUACUGUCUGUACAGGAUAGGUGGGAGACU